AUUGCACGCUGGCGGCAGGCCUAACACAUGCAAGUCGAGCGGAGCGGCGGACGGGAGAGUAAUGCCUAGGAAUCUGCCUGGUAGUGGGGGAUAACGUCCGGAAACGGGCGAUAAUACCGCAUACUAUCAGAUGAGCCUAGGUCGGUUAAGCUAGUUGGUGGGGUAAAGGCCUACCAAGGCGACGAUCCGUAACUGGUCUGAGAGGAUGAUCAGGCACACGGGAAUGGAGACAGGUUCCAGACUCCUACGGUAGGCAGCAUGGGGGAAUAUUGGACAAGGGGCGAAAGCCUGAUCCAGCCAUGCCGUGUGUGUGAAGAAGGUCUUCGGAUUGUAAAGCACUUUAAGUUGGGAGGCGUUACCAACAGAAUAAGCACCGGCUAACUUCGUGCCAGCAGCCGCGGUAAUAC
rnacentral:rRNA from 1 species